AAAGCAAGUAUGCCCAUGACGACCUGUACGUAUUCAGGAAGAAGAGAUAGGCCUUGGAGUAUUGGGUGGUGACAGAUGGUGGUGCCAUGAAGGGUCUUUCAACAGUUGGAUGGUUAUGCAAUGCGGUCACAAAUGGUUCGGCGCAGAGGUCAUAUCAGCUGAUAGUGUGAAGGAUGUGGUUUUACCAGGUGAUGGAUGCUGCUAUAAUGGAGCUUUAGCCACAAAAAAGAAUAAUUCUAUCAAAAACGGCCCAACCCAUUUCAGAAGAGGAGCUCGUACCUUUGGACUUCUGCUGGCCUCAUCACUUAGAGAUUUUGUCAUUUGAGAAUGUCUGUUGAAUGACAACAAGUUGGCAAUAAGACUCAUGAGAGGUAAACAACAAUGGAGCUCAGUAUUUGGGUUUAACUUUAAAAUGUUUAGAAAUGAAUAAAAAGUAUUUUUGAAAACAUUGUAGAAAUGAAUACUUUUCUAAAGACUUGACAAAAGUGUACAUACAGGUGUGAGAAAUAUUAGAGAAGUAUUUAAA